UCCUUAAUAGCUCUGUUGGUAAAGAAUCUGCCUGCAAUGCAGGAGACCCAGGUUCGAUUUCUGGGUCAGGAA
rnacentral:tRNA from 1 species